CUCUUUUCUUCUCCGCUGAUGCUGCCAGACCUGCUGAGUUUUUCCAGGAUAUUUGAACAGGAAGAUUUGCUGACAGGAAACUCAAACCAAAAACCACGUCAAAUUCUGACAGAUUCACUCAAUACAUCAGGAGCUGGAUAUCAUUGAACAUUUAAUAUGGACGGAGAAAUGUUUUAAUCAAUUGCGCAGCCUGAAAAAGCAUCUCACCAUUCAUAGUGUGAAUAAACUGUGUGUGGAUGAGGUUUGAUCUGACCAUCCAACAUGGACAGCCACGAGGACACUGGCACCAUGGAGAAAUCGUGGGGACUGUGGGAAGGGAUUUGGUUCCCCAUCAAAGCUGGAAAUUCAUCAACGCAGUCACACUGGGGAAAGGCCGUUCUCCUGCUCCGUGUGUGGGAAGGGAUUUACUAAUUCAUCCAACCUUCUGAGACAUCAGCGCGUUCACGUUGAGCAGAGUUCAGUCAUCUGCUCCGUGUGUGGGAAAGCAAUCAGUCAUUCAUCAAACUUUCAGAGACACCAGCAAACUCACAGUGGAGAGAGGCCAUUCACCUGCUCUGUGUGUGGGAAGAGAUUUACUCAGUCAUCCUACCUGCUGACACACCAGCAAAUUCACACGAGGGGAGUCCAUUCACCUGUUCCUUGUGUGGGGAGGGAUUUAAUCGAUUGCCUAGGCUUCUGAAACACCAGCGCAUUCACACUGGGGAAAGUCCAUACACCUGCUUUAUCUGUGGGAAGGGAUUUAAUCGGCCAUCCAAAUUACUUACACACCAGCGAAUUCACACUGGGGAGAGGCCAUUCACCUGCUCCAUGUGUGGGAAGGGAUUCACUAAUUCAUCCGACCUGCUAACACCAGCAAGUUCAUACUGGUGAGAGGCCAUUCACAUGUUCCAUGUGUGGAAAGAGAUUCACUCGGUCAUCCCACCUUCUGACACAUCAACUUGUUCAUACUGAUCAGAGACCCUUUGAAUGUUCAUACUGUGAGAAGACCUUUAAAAGUAAAAAGGAUCUGCUGACACACCAGCGAGUUCACACUGGGGAGAGGCCAUUCACCUGCUCCGUGUGUGGGAAGGGAUUCACUCAGUCAGGUUCCUGGCUGACACACCAACGAAUUCACAAGUGACUGUAGAGGUUGGAUUCUGCAUUUUUUGCUGCUGCUAAUCAUGUUCAGGAUUGAAUUCUUUCAUUCUGACAUUUGGGUCUGUUUCUGCAGAUUUUAAUGGACUGCUGUUUAAUAUUUUGGAUAAAUGUCGAAUAGAAUGUCAAGCUUUGUUUUAAACACAUUAUUGUAGAUUUUUGUCUUUCCCACCUGAGUGUUUAACAUCACCUGGCUGGGGCUCAGAAAGGACAAUCUGGGGGAGGAUCUUACGGAUGGAACAGAACUUCAGCCUGGACACAGUCCUUCAGGGUCACACUGAGGGGGACAAACAGCACUUUGGUCUUUCUCAUCUUUCUUCACUGACAACAAAACCCACAUGUGGAUUAAUCCUGAGGUGUGUAAGAAAUGUGCCACAGCCACUUCUGUGCAGUACGUACAGUCUAAAGAUGACCAAUGUCAGGCUACGUGGAGUCCAAGUCCAUAUAGAAAAGUGGAUGGAAAAAUACAAACUCGCUGCAAAUCUAACCCUCUGAUUUCUGGUUUGUAACCAUUUUGGUUCAAAGCUCCUAGGCACAACUGUGGUUGUUCAGCCUGAGUCAGGCAGACUGGAAACAUGCUGUUAAAUCAGAGAUUGAUGUAAAACUUGCUGUUAAAUCAGAGAUUGAUGUAAAACUGUGCUCUGUUCCUGACUGAAACUUAAACACCAGGAUUACGUU